rnacentral:lncRNA from 1 species
AAGUGAGUUUUGCCUAUCCCCUUCCAUCAGAAUCACCUGGUGAGCUUGUUAGAGAACAGAUUCUCAGGAACCACACCAGGAUUUCGGAUUUAGAAUUGAUGGUGGUUGAGCCUAGACUCUGUAUUUUUAACAAGCUCCCUAUGUGAUUCUUUUUCAUGCUAAAAUUUGAGAGCAUCUGGCCUCCAGAUCAAGUGCAAACACUUCAGAAUUGCUGAUGAGAAGACUGUGCUCAGAGAUGGUAAGAAACUCAGAAGAGGCACCUGGUGAAUAGGAGAUGUCUGGAACUUGAAUGCAGAGGGGAAAGGCAUUUGAAGUUGGAGAUUAUCAUGUCUGGGAAGGAAGAAAUAGGAGCCAACGGGACUAGAUCACAUGGGAAGAAGAGACGGUCCCAUUUCAUGCCAAAAAGAGAUAAGAAAAAGAACUAUGUCUCAAUGCCUUUCCAGUGGAGCUAACAAAAAACAAAACAAAAUAAAACAGUCUCCAACAUACUAAACAGCUGUCGCCAAGAUCAGAAAGCAUCAGAAAAGACCCUAAAAGAGUUGUCUAAUCCCCAAGGAAGAGCUUGUUUAAGUGCAGAAGUGCUUGCAGCAGAAACUUUCGAAAUUUCAGGGAGUGGAAUUUUAUUGUCAGAACUUUCAAUAAAAGUGCAGCUGCAGAUCCUGGGAGCAUUAAAUAAAAAUUGCCAACAAGCUGUCUUACCUGUGUGCACUCCACGGAAAGAAAGGGCAAUUGUGAGCAAGUCGCGCUUGUACGUCAGUCAAAACUCUGACAGCUACCCUGUGAAGUUUGACAAGCUGCCAUGUGCUCGACUACCUAAGAUACUCUUAACUGAACCAUAAAAAGACAAAUAAAUUAGUAAUUGUAUCCCUCCUGUCAAUGUCCUUUUUCGUGAACUUCUCAAGCUGUUGGUUAACAUUGUCUGGAAUGACUUACCAAUGUAUUCUUAGCUUUCUUAGAAAAGGCAGAUACACUUGAUUUUUUCCAAAUUGUUUUUUGAAUUGAUUUAAGAAAAUGAUACAGAUAUUACCCAUUUCUGGACCUCUCGUUUUACUCCCUGGUCUGCCUCCUCCCAUUAGGAAAUCAGACCAAUAAGAUUAACAUAAUCUUUCUUGGAAUUGACUGUUCUUUUUAAAUAGAUCCCAUGAUAGACAUGUGUAAAAAUCAAUAACAGGCUCCUCAUUUGUCAAAGCUAAUGACUAAACUCAUUUUGAAGUUCAAUAGUGGUUACUGAAGAGUGGCCACACAUUAUAUAUCUAAUCCUGUAGGUCUCUCCACUUAUUCCGCAGAAGAACAGAGAAAAAGGAGCCUUUGUUCCUUGAGGCACAAUAAAAAAGCUUGUGUCUCCAUU